rfam:Gossypium raimondii Chr01_contig_1116, whole genome shotgun sequence.
GGGUGCAAUCAUACUAACACUAAUACAUCGAAUCCCAUCAGAACUCCGCAAUUAAACGUGCUUGGAUGAGAGAAGUACUAGGAUGGGUAACCUUUUGAGAAUCAUAAAAAGAAUUAA